rnacentral:rRNA from 1 species
UACGGAGGGAGCUAGCGUUGUUUGGAAUUACUGGGCGUAAAGCGUGCGUAGGCGGUUAUUCAAGUCAGAGGUGAAAGCCCGGGGCUCAACCCCGGAACGGCCUUUGAAACUAGGUAACUAGAAUCUUGGAGAGGUUAGUGGAAUUCCGAGUGUAGAGGUGAAAUUCGUAGAUAUUCGGAAGAACACCAGUGGCGAAGGAC